AAAUCUGCCCACUGAAUUUAUUUAAAGGGCUGCAGUAUAAUGACUGUACAAAGGUAGCAUAAUCAUUAGUCUUUUAAUUGAAGACUUGUAUGAAUGAUUUGAUGAGAUAUAGACUGUCUCUUUAUUAAAAAUAGAAUUUAAUUUUUUAGUUAAAAAGCUAAAAUAUUUUUAAAAGACGAGAAGACCCUAUAGAGUUUAAUAUUUUAUUAAAUUUAAAUUUUAUAUAAAUUUUUAAAUUUAAAUUUAAUAAAAUAUUUUGUUGGGGUGAUAGAAAAAUUUGUUAAACUUUUUUUAAAAAAUUUACAUUAAUUUAUGAAUUUAUGAUCCAUAAUUUAUGAUUAUAAGAAUAAAUUACCUUAGGGAUAACAGCGUAAUUUUUUUUUU
rnacentral:rRNA from 1 species